rnacentral:rRNA from 1 species
UGCCAGCAGCCGCGGUAAUACGGAGGGAGCGAGCGUUAAUCGGAAUUACUGGGCGUAAAGCGCGCGUAGGCGGCUUUGUCAGUCGGAUGUGAAAGCCCUGGGCUUAACCUGGGAAUGGCAUUCGAUACUGCAUGGCUAGAGUAUGGUAGAGGGAAGUGGAAUUUCCGGUGUAGCGGUGAAAUGCGUAGAUAUCGGAAGGAACACCAGUGGCGAAGGCGACUUCCUGGGCCAAUACUGACGCUCAUGGUCGAAAGCAUGGGGAGCAAACAGGAUUAGAUA